rnacentral:rRNA from 1 species
UGGGGAAUCUUCCGCAAUGGACGAAAGUCUGACGGAGCAACGCCGCGUGAACGAAGAAGGCCUUCGGGUCGUAAAGUUCUGUUGUUAGGGAAGAAUGUGCUUCUUGUAAAUAAUGAGAAGUAAUGACGGUACCUAAAGAGGAAGCCACGGCUAACUACGUGCCAGCAGCCGCGGUAAUACGUAGGUGGCGAGCGUUGUCCGGAAUUAUUGGGCGUAAAGAGCAUGUAGGUGGGAAUGUAAGUCUGUUGUUAAAAUGCGGGGCUCAACCCCGUAUUGCACUGGAAACUACAUUUCUUGAGUGCAGGAGAGGAAAGGGGAAUUCCCAGUGUAGCGGUGAAAUGCGUAGAUAUUGGGAGGAACACCAGUGGCGAAGGCGCCUUUCUGGACUGUGUCUGACACUGAGAUGCGAAAGCUAGGGGAGCGAACGG